GUGAGGAAUUUUCCGCAAUGGGCGAAAGCCUGACGGAGCAAUGCCGCGUGAAGGAUGAAGGCCUAUGGGUUGUAAACUUCUUUUCUCAGAAAAGAAUUAUGACGGUAUCUGAGGAAUAAGCAUCGGCUAACUCUGUGCCAGCAGCCGCGGUAAGACAGAGGAUGCAAGCGUUAUCCGGAAUGAUUGGGCGUAAAGCGUCUGUAGGUUGUUUAAAAAGUAUUCUGUCAAAGAUUAGGGCUUAACCCUAGAUAGGCAGAAUAAACUUUUAAGAUAGAGGUUGGUAGAGGCAGAGGGAAUUCCCGGUGGAGCGGUGAAAUGCGUGGAUAUCGGGAGGAACACCAAAGGCGAAGGCACUCUGCUGGGCCAAUACUAACACUGAGAGACGAAAGCGAGGGGAGCAAAUGGGAUUAGAUACCCCGGUAGUCC
rnacentral:rRNA from 1 species